rnacentral:rRNA from 1 species
GACGAACGCUGGCGGCGUGCUUAACACAUGCAAGUCGAACGGACAGGCCCUGCUUUUGUGGGGUGCUCGAGUGGCGAACGGGUGAGUAACACGUGAGUAACCUGCCCUUGACUUUGGGAUAACUUCAGGAAACUGGGGCUAAUACCGGAUAGGAGAUCCCGCUGCAUGGUGGGGGUUGGAAAGUUUCGGCGGUUGGGGAUGGACUCGCGGCUUAUCAGCUUGUUGGUGGGGUAGUGGCUUACCAAGGCUUUGCCGGGUAGCCGGCCUGAGAGGGUGACCGGCCACAUUGGGACGGAGAUACGGCCCAGACUCCUACGGGAGGCAGCAGUGGGGAAUAGUGCACAAUGGGCGGAAGCCUGAUGCAGCAACGCCGCGUGCGGGAUGACGGCCUUCGGGUUGUAAACCGCUUUCGCCUGUGACGAAGCGUGAGUGACGGUAAUGGGUAAAGAAGCACCGGCUAACUACGUG